CCUACGGGCGGCAGCAGUAGGGAAUCUUUCACAAUGGGCGAAAGCCUGAUGGAGCAACGCCGCGUGCAGGAUGAAGGCCUUCGGGUUGUAAACUGCUUUUAUAAGCGAGAAAUAUGAUGGUAACUUAUGAAUAAGGAUCGGCUAACUACGUGCCAGCAGCCGCGGUCAUACGUAGGAUCGGAGCAUUAUCCGGGGUGACUGGGUGGAAAGAGGUGCGUAGGUGGGAUAAUAGGUAGCUAGUGAAAUCUGGUGGCUCAACCAUUCAGACUAUUAGCUAAACUGUUAAGCUCGAGACCGUUAGGGGUAAGCGGAAUUUCUAGUGUAGGAGUGAAAUCCGUAGAUAUUAGAAAGAACACCAAUAGCGUAGGCAGGUUGCUGGGACGGUUCUGACACUAAGGCACGAAAGCGUAGGGAGCAAACGGGAUUAGAUACCCUUGUAGUC
rnacentral:rRNA from 1 species